UUAAUGACGUGGAAGAGGAGUAGUAGUGAAAGAUCAAGCUUUUAGAGAGGCAGCGGCUGGUGGAAGCUGUCCUUGAUUAUUACGAACUCGCCUUGGAUGUCGCAGAAGUGAACAUUAAUGGUAGCUUUUUGCCGGUGAAUCGCCGUUAUCGAUACACGAGUGAACGUUUAAAAGAACGUUAAUUUGGGUGGUACCGCGGGAAUCAAGCCUCUCGUCCCAUAU
rnacentral:ncRNA from 1 species